AGAGUUUGAUCCUGGCUCACCUNCANCNNGGGGCUACAGGCUUAACACAUGCAGUCGAGGGGAANCUUNNCGGUAGCUUGCUACUGUGGGCGUCGACCGGCGCACGGGUGAGUAACGCGUAUCCAACCUGGCCUGAGGUAAGGGAUAAUCCGNAGAAAUGCGGUCUAAUACCUUAUGUGUUCCGAAGAGGACAUCUGAUUUGGAAUAAAGAUUUAUCGCCUUAGGAUGGGGAUGCNUCUGANUAGAUAUUGGCGGGUAACGGCCCACCAAGUCAUCNAUCAGAAGNGUUCUGAUAAGAAAAGUCCCCUCCAUUGGAACC
rnacentral:rRNA from 1 species